CGCACAGUAAACGAUGAAUACCAGCUGUUGGCGAUAGACAGUCAGCGGCGUAAGCGAAAGCGUUAAGUAUUCCACCUGGGGAGUACGCCGGCAACGGUGAAACUCAAAGGAAUUGACGGGGGCCCGCACAAGCGGAGGAACAUGUGGUUUAAUUCGAUGAUACGCGAGGAACCUUACCUGGACUUGACAUCCCCUGAAUGACUCGUAAUGGAGGAAGCCCUACGGGGCAGGGAGACAGGUGG
rnacentral:rRNA from 1 species